rnacentral:lncRNA from 1 species
GUGCCGGCUGUCGACUACCUGACGCCCUCCCCCUCCUCCUUUAUCCGGGCUUGGGACCGGCCAUGUAAGACAUAGGCGGAGUUAAAUUCAUCAGCUAAAGUAAUUAAAAUAAAAUCUUCAUAUUCUUUCAUAGUAUUCCACGAGUUUUAUGGUAUUAGUUUAGUGAUUUUUUAAUAUUUAUUGCAAUCUAAAUAUUUUUAAGUACAAAUGUUCAUAAUUUUUUUUUAAGUUAGUUUAAGAAAAAUAUUAUUCUAACUUCAUUUUUUUAAUAAUCUCGGUGUGGGAGGAUCAAAUCUGGUUUCGACUCAUGGGCCAAUACCAAUCACCCAAAGGGAUGGUGUUGUGCAAGAUAAACUAUGAGGAUAGCCCACAAGGAAUAUACAGACGCACGUGUCUAGAUAACUACCUCCACUACGGAGGACCACUGAGGAAGUGGGAGAGGAAUACAUGUAGUGGUACUUGUUCUCAAAACAUGCAAUCAUAUUACAAAGGACCACUAAGGGAGUGGGGGAGGAAGAUAGGUCGUGGUACUUGUUCCCUAAGCAUACAAUCCUAUAAAUAUGGAAAGGAGCCAAAGAACAAGGUACGCAAUUAGAACCCGAGAGAAACUAGAGAAUAGAAAAUCAAUCGACUGACUUGAGCAUCGAAGUAUCACUUGCAGGUACCCUGCCCAGGCAACCUACGGAGAAAGACUGCUCGGGGACACCUUUAACGAAUGAUUCGGUGAAAGUGAGGAUUGCGAUCAACAAAUCUGUAGAGUUAUAUUUCUUCCAAUAAGAUAUUUCACUCCAAUAGUUGGCAUCGUCUAUGGGAAAACGAAACAAAAUCAAGUUAUAAACAUGACUAGAUCCACACAAGAAGUUCUGAAUCCCUUCGGAGACGCAGGGACUUGAUCGGUGCAUGCGAGGUCUCAAUCCCAAAAUAGUGAACCCAGUCUCGCCAUGGAACAAUUUAGAAGCCUAACUAGGGAAUUGCAUGAAACAAAAAAGACAGCAGAUGAGGCGUUGAAGAAGGCUGAAGUGAGAAACGCAAUGGAAGAUGUGAUCGGCACCAAGAGAUAGCGUGUAGAAGAGGAAGAUAAGGAGGGCAACUCUAGUAAUGCGCCAUUCAACAACCGUGUUGAGGUGACAAAAAAUCAAGGCGAAGAGGAUCACAAGGGAAAAGGAUAAAAAAAGGUAAAAGAUGUUGAUUUGUGAGAACAAAUUGAGAAGAUUGUGAAGGGAUACAAACCAUAGACCCCGGCGAAACUUGCCUUAGAAGUGGCCAGAGGGAUCCGCAAAUUGCCGUUCAUAGAGAACAUCAUGAAAGCUAAAAAACCUACCAAGUUCACCCAACCAAAGUUUAAGCUAUUUGAAGGCACGACUGAUCAUGUCGAGCACAUUUACCACUUCUAACAGCAUAUGACGCUUGAAGGAGACGAUGAGGCCCUCCUGUGCAAGUUGUUCCCCUCAAGUCUUUCAGGAUCAUCUUUAACUUGGUUCAGACAACUGAAACUGAGGUCUAUCGGAAGUUUCACGAAGCUUUGUGAAGCAUUCAUAUCUCAAUAUGUCUGCAAUUGGAGGCCAAGAAAAGAUGUGACGAUCUUGUUCAGCACCAAACAAAAUGUUGGCAAAAGCCUCAAAAGCUACAUUACUAGGUUCACGGAAGAGAUGUCCACCCUAGAAGAAUGUCAUUCUCACACUGUCUUUGGCAUUCUGAGAAUGGGUGUUGUUCGAAACGAAGAUGUGUUGGUCAUUAAUCAAAACUCCACCACUGGACAUGAGGAAGGUGAUGGCCCGAGCUGAUGGAAUCAUCAGACUAGAAGAAAAGAAGAACUAAUCCAGUCAAAACGGUCCACAGCUAUUAUUGCUACAUCUUCAGCGGGCACUACAGUGCCUAGCUUAAAACCCACGACUCAACCGAGGCAAGAAUGAAGAUUCUCACGUGAUCCGAAAGAUGGGUUUAAUGAAAGAUCUAAACCUGAUCGCCUACACACCAAGCUGACAGUGAGCCUGGGCAAAAUUUUCCAUAAGAACAAGGGAAAAUGAAUCUUUUGAAGGAAAAUUUUUGUCCUAGCUAAGAAUAAGUAAGAACAUUUGAAUACAUAUGCAAACUAGUAACACAUUAAAGUAGGCAUGCAUUAAAAAACAAUUCAUAAAACCCAUGACUUUCAAAGCCUAGUGAAUGGUGAACCAAAAGACUCUUUAACAACAUUAAAGAGAAUGAAGAAUUUAAAGAUUCUUUACCCUUGAAGCUCAUCCUUGUUUACACAAGGGAUUUACCCAAGUGGAGGGCCUUCAAGUCACCUCCAAGCUCCUUGGAUCUUGCUUGUGAUUUCCUUCUCCUUUUGUGCUCCUUUGGUCCUUAAGAAUGUGAGGAAAUGAUCUCCAAAACACCAAAGGUUUGGUGUCUCUAAGUCUCCACACCAAGGGUGAGGUGUGAAGAUGAAAUGGAUGACUUAGAGAAGAAAAGAUUGCUAGAUAAAAUCUCCUCUAAGUGGCCGGCCUCCUUGUUUAAAAAGAGAGAAUAGGUUUCACCUCUUUUCUACAAGAAAAACCCUAAUGAGAAAAAUAGCUAUAAAGUUGCUUUUAUAACACUUUUCUUAGGUGAGUGGCAAACUUGCAAUUAAGCAAACCUUCACCCUCUCCUCACCAUGGCCGGCCUAUUUGUUGUGAUUGGGCUUAUUGCCCAUUUUGGUUUAGUUGUCAUACAACUUAAACAUAAUGGGCCUUGUGGACCAAAACACUUUUGGGCCCCGAAACCCAAAACCAACUUAAAAGCCCAAUACAAACCUUUCGUAAAAUUAAUUAACUAAUUAAUUAAUCUUGACCAUUCUUCAAUUAAACCAUUGAAUUGCAUAUCCAUUUCAUUUAAUUUCUUCACUUUCAUCCUUACUCGGUGUACGAUCCAUUAGGUUCCAUUUAGCGAGGUAGUGGGUGAUUGUUACUCUUAACGAUCGAUUGUGAAUUGAAACCACAUUUCAAUUCUCCCUUAAAAUUAGUGUUUGCUAAUCAUCAGGGCUUCCACAAACCAUGAGUGACACCUAGCAGCAUGUCAUGGUUACCCAAGCUAAGUAGAAUUGGUUGGAGAACCUAUCCAGUUACAACUACAAUGCAAUACGGUCCUUCUCUAAUACAAUACUCUUAAUCACAUUGUUUAAGUGAUAGUUUGUUUCAUGUCUACUAUCCAAUGUGAUACAUCUCCAUAUGAUUCUUUUGAAUAAGAUUUGGAACAAACUUCCUAAGUCAUAUUCAUAUGCUUUGGCCAAAGACUCUCGAAUCACAUCUUAUAGUAUUCUCCUUCCACCAUGGAAGGUUAGAGAUCCCUUGUUGUGCAUUCAUAUGCCUACAUGACUAGAUAGCUUGACCCCAACAAUGCCGUGGACACUCCAAUGGAAUGCCUUUGACAUGAUCAAAGGUCAAUGACCUAACCAUUAGACAUUUAUAAUGCCUCAGGUCAAAGGACUACUUUGCAUAUUGCAACUAUCGAGUUCUUACAUGACAUGUAUGUUCGAACUCUCUUUUGAUCGUGAUUCAGUAUACUCGAUUACUCUUUCGAGCACCUAUGUGUUUGUCUUAGUGUCCAACACCAAAUGACUUGAGACUAGUCAUACUCACGCUUGAGUCGACAUAACAUAUACUAACCUUAGCGGAUUGUCAAUGCCCAAUUGGCAAUCCUAUGGCUAGGAAUGUUUUAGGAAUGAACAUAAGAGAAAGGUCUCGAUAAUCUAACUUACUUAAAUCACUUGUCUCUUAGAUCAAUUACAUCCCUUGGAUUCCCUUAUUGCUUAAGCACAUGAUACAAUAAAUAGUGAUUAACAAUAAACUUUGCCUUUCAUUAAACAUAUAAAAGUUUAAUACAAUAAGUAUUCCAAAAGCUAUUACAUCAAAUGAGUGGCUUUGUGGGCAUACUUCCAACAUCUUUUGUGCACCAGCACCGAUUCAAACGCCUUUAGAGAAACGAGACAAGAACAAGAUGUGUGCUCAUCACAAUGACUUUGGUCAUGCCACCAAUGAUUUUCAAAGCCUAAGGAACCAAGUGGAAGCUAUGCUGAAAAUGGGAUGUUAUCACAGUACCACGUAGAAUCAAGAGACGAACGUAAGAAUGACGGAAGACUUAAAGCAGUAACAAGAAACAUUGGGGCAGACGAUAGGUUGUUGGAUAUCAAUGUCAUACAUGGUAGACCCUAACCCCCUGAAGGACACGAAACACUCUUGAUCACAAAGAUCAUUGCCAAGGGUGAUGAAACUCGCAUUUCUUUUUGUGAAUUCAGGUCUCAAAGCUUGAGAUGAAUUAUUGGAACAAUCGCCACUAACCAAGCCGAAUGUGGGAGGAGCUGAUUUCCAUUGCAUGGGUUUAGGGGUUGUGCCGAAGAUAGUCGGCGAACCAAGUCUGGGCUUUUUGGGCCUAUCCGUCAGAGAACGUUUAUCUGACUUGCCUACAAUUAUGAACAUUGGAAGAUCACGAUGAGGCGAUGCAACGCAGCGGGACGGGGUGGGGGAAGGUCAGGAAAUGGUGAAGCCAUUGUAGAAGAAUAAUUCGAGUCAGAGUCCGUGUCCGUUUGCCCUAUCUCCUCGUCUUCUUCUAUUUCGUCUCUUUCUUCUGAGCCCUCAGUUUGGGAGUCGGUGACAAGUACAGGAGAGUCUACGUUAAACUGAAGCUCAAUAUCAAGAGCGAAUAUGGACUUAAGCAGGGGGUCUGAAGGCAACGACCAGUCUACCAAACAAUACGAGAAGUAAAUGAUAGAGUUGCGGAGAUAGGUGAUUUGAGUACGAGUGUUAGCAACUUCUCUAGAGCUCCAUAUCUUUCUCGUCACAAACCUCUUUAGCCAACACUUUCGGCCUUUGGAGAGUAUCUGUUUGGGACAAUCUGAUAAAGCUGCAAAAGAAGCUCAUGGUAAGUUAUGUUUACAUAUUUAUCGAAAAAAUGAUAGCAGAAGUAAAUUUAUAUAUACCAGGUUUAUGGCUAAAAGUAGAAGGGAUGGAUAGUUGAGACAGCUCGGAGACCUUCCAAUUCCCUGAAAUCAGAAGAGGGUGGUUUUUUCAAUCUCUGGCUCUCGAGGGAUCCAAUGACAAGAAUUUCUUGCGAUACCUAGGUUUAAAAUUAAAGAAACUAGUUUCACCCUUAAUGGUAGUCAAGUUUAAGAGAUAGAUGAAAUCUCUAAAACACAAGGAUACCCCUAGCUUCAGUCCUAAUGCCAGAAAGGUCGACAUAACUAAGUAAGAGUUCGGUUCAGUUGCAUAAGGUGAGUAUUUGUGAAGAAUAAGAUGAGGUGAAUCAUGGGAUGGAGCGGGAAGCUAAUGGCCUCUAAGUGGUAUGGAGACAAAACGGUACACCCGGCUGGGAUGCUGGAGCCCGAAUACAUGUUGGCUCUCGCGGGAAACAAGCUGAGGUGCACGUCAUCUGGAACAUGACAUUGGUCACGAGCCUUGAUGAUUUCAAAGUGUGAUUGAGUACCACCAUAUUUAAACCAAUGUGUAUGUCUCGACAUGAGGAACAAGAUGGGAGACUUACUGGCCGAAAUUGAUUCGAGAAGAUAAGAAGAGGAAUUAGUACCUGUAAGUGGAAUGAAAUAUUCCCACAUGAGGAGUUUGAAAUGGAAAAAAUUACCUGUAAGCCAAGAGGCCACUGUGAAACGAGAAGUCACAAACUUAGUGGAGAACUGAAUGGAGGAAGUAAGAAAAGCGGGAAUAGGGGAAGCUCAAUUUAUAAAAAGAGAAAUGAGUGCAUAUAAAGUUUGGACAUAAAUUUUCAACCCUAUAGAGGAUGGAUGAAACUCCAAUUGAGAGGACAAACGCUAUAGACAACCUAAUGGAUGGGAUAAGACGUGUGAGGAAGGUGUCAUUUUCUCAUAUAUAUUUCAGUGUGUAGUCAUAAUCUAGUUCACGGAAGACGUAGAUUUGACAACGAGAGCGAAAGAAGAAAGCUUGUUCCGAAGUUGGAGAAACGCGCAUGAUGAUAGAACUUAACGGAGGAGGAAAUUAUGAAACAUGUUGAGCCCUAGGUAAUGACGCAUAAAUAUGUAUAUACAUAUGUGCAUAGAGAUAUAUAUAAAUGUACAAAAAGUGUGUGCAGAGAUACGCAUAUUGGUGCACAUAGAUAUGCACAUGGGUAUGUGUGUGUGUGUGUGUAAAGGGAUUGGAUACCCUGGGAGUCUAGCUCGCGACCUAGAGGCAGUAGAAGAAACUAAGCUUUGGAGCCCCCCGCGCGUGCGCGCACACACAUAUAUAUAUAUAUAUGUAUAUAUAUAAUAUAUCUACAUAUAUAUAGAGAGAGAUGUAGGUGUACAAACUAGGCGUGCAGAUUAGACGUUCGGCCUAGACGUGCAGACUAGGUGUACAGCCCAGUAUUAUAGGUUAUAUGUGUGAGGAGGAAACAUAUAUGGUAAAGAUAUAUGCAGAUGUGUAAGUCAUGUAAAAGUGUAUGUAGAUGUGCACGUCAUCUAAGGGAUAGAGAUUUAUAAUAUUUAUAUAUCAUGAGAAAAGAAGAACAUCUAGUCUGAACAGGUACGAAGAAGGAAACAAACUAGGUGUGCAGACAAGAUGGGAGAAAGAACUAUGUAAUAAAUAAAUAAAUAUAUAUAUAUAUAUGUAUAAAUGUCUGUCAACUUUCGUAAAUCCACUUUGGUAGACCAUAUAUUUCAUAAAUUAUACGAAGGUGUCAGUCCACUUUCGUGGGAAGGUGUUUAGGUGUCAACCCUCAUUCUUAAAUCCACUUUCGUAGAUCAUACGAAGGUGUCAGUUCACUUUUAAACCACGAAAGAUGUCAGUCAGUUCACUUUUAAACCACGAAAGAUGUCAGCCCUCAUUCAUAAAUCCUCGUUCGUAAAUCAUACGAAGGUAUCAGUCCAUUUUUGUGGGAAGGUGUUUAGGUGUCAGCUCUCGUUCGUAAAUCCACUUUUGUAGAUCAUAUGAAGGUGUUAGUCCACUUUCGUAAACCACGCAUCAACCCUCAUUCGUAAAUUAUGCAAAGAUGUCAGUUGAUGUUCGUAAAGUAUGUGAAGGAGUCUGUUGGCUUUCGCAAGUUAUGCGAUUGUUGACUUUCUUAUAUUAUGGUUUAGGUGUCAGUGUCAGUAAAUUGUGCGACAGUCCAUGUUCGUAAAUUUUAUGGAGAUGUCUAUUGACGCUCGUAAAUUAUGCAAAGAUAAGACAGGGCGAAGAAAGCUAGUAGAGCAUCUGUAAGUUAGGCGAACGAAAUGAGGGCUUUGGUAAAUUUACCCUCAGUAAAUUUAGCCUUAGAAAAAGUAACUUCCACAAAUCUGGCCUUAGCAAGAAGUGCUUAAAGUUUUAGCUUGGCUUAAAGAGUAUAGUUUCAAGGCCUCAUGUGAUAAAAAAAACUCAGUUUUCCCCUAUUUUACAUCCGUAAAAAAGGGAAAAAUGGGGCAUUGAGGGAGGAUAAAAUCAGGCUUUGACUCAUGGGCCAAUACCAAUCACCCAAAGGGAUGAUGUUGUGCAAGAUCAAAUGUGAGGAAAGCCCACAAGGAAUAUACAAACGCAUGUAUCUAGAUAACUGCCUCCACUACGGAGGACCACUGAGGAAGUGAAAGAGGAAGACAUGUCGUGGUGCUUGUUCCCGAAACAUGCAGUCAUAUUACGAAGGACCACUAAGGGAGUGGGGGAGGAAGAUAGGUCGUGGUACUUGUUCCCCAAGCAUGCAAUCUUAUAAAUAUGGAAAGGAGCCAAAGAACAAGGUACGCAAUCAAAACCUUAGAGAAACCAGAGAAUAGAAAAUCAAUCGACUUGAGCGUUUGAGUAUCUCUUGCAGGUACCCCACCCAGGCAACCUACGGAGAAAGACUGCUUGGGGACACCUCUAACGAAGGAUUCGGCGAACGUGAGGAUUGCAGUUAAUAACUCUGUGGGGGUAUUUCUUCUAGUAGGAAAUUUUGCUCCAACACUUAGGCUAAAAAUUUAGUCCAAAAAGGUUAAAGCAAAAAGACUAUUUUUUGUUUAUAAAUUUUUUGGAUUAAAAGAAUCAGGUUUUAACCCAAAGUUGAAGAUGAUCUUAACGCAACCUUAAAAGUUUGCAAAUCGAAUCCCAUUACCAUUUUUUAAUAAAUGUAGAGUGUUUAUUAUAAUCAAGCUUUGCUUUUUGUUUUUAGUGUGACAAUCACACGAGAUGGUACACCACGUGUUCCUAUAUAAAUAGUGGGAUAUGUGUGUUAAAAGGUUAAUUACUUAAAAAUUAAAAUUUUUCAUCACUUACAUAAAAACACAUGGUGUACCAUCCGUAUUUCCAUCGCAACUAAAAAAAUUUCGUUGAAUUGUGUGACAUAUUCGAUGUACCUGGCCAAAGUAAUAUUAUAAAAUUCGAAAAAUGAUUAUAAUAUUAAGAUUUUGGACCCUCUUUCGGCUUGUAAAUGAUAUUUAAGCAUUACGUAUUUAAUUGUCACCAGGUUGUAAAUUCCGGCCCGAGUCGGCAUUCAUGUGACAAGUGUGUCUAAGUUGGCAUUCAUGCGACAACUGUGUCCAAGUUGGCAAUGGCAUACAUGUGAUUAGCAAACAAAAAGUCGUUUUCCUUCUCCUUUUGCCCUUUUGGGCAAGAUCUGGCAUAAAAGAUUGAAUUAGAUUUUUUUUUAAUUAUUAGUUUUAUUAAGUAUUACUUUGAAACUAUUACAAUUUUUUUUUUUUGAACAAACGAUAUUAUCUAACUAAAGAAGUGGGGGACUAGGAGCCUCACAAUGGACCAGACAUAACAAUUCGCAUUUGACGAGAAUCGAACUUAAGACCUCUCACUUAUAAGUGAAAAAGAAUACUACAAAACUCAUAAUCGUCUAUCUAUUUGCUACAAUUGAUUGAUUAAACGACCAUAAUUUUAAUUAUUAUUUUUUUGCAAAGAUGAUCUUUACAAAGUAAUUUAAAAUAUGCACAGUUAUCAUAAUCAUUGUUCCUACUUAUCGUUAAGUAGCCAAAAUGAUCUUUGCAAAAAUGAUAAUUCAAUUAAGUAAUUUACACCCAUUAAUUAGUCAAGUACUUGAUUAGCAUGCAUAAUCAAUCAAGCUACAAAUAUUUUAUUAAUAUUUAGACUUUUUAGCCAAAAUGAUCGCUGAGAUUGACAUAACUCAUUACUUUGGUCCCUGAGAUUUGAAAUCAAUAGAAGUAAUCCAUGAGUUUGUCAACUAUAAAUUAUUUUAGUACUUGCAUGAAAAAUUAUAUUAAAUAAGGACCAAAAUGACAAAAAUACCCUCAAUUUAAUAAACAAUGGGCUAAAUGUAACAUCUCACAUCCCCAGGGGAGUGGAUCGUGUAAGCCUUAUAUGUAUAUUCUGAUAUCUACCUAGCACGAGGCUUUUUGGGAACUCUGAAGUUAAGCGAGUUCGCGCAAGAGCAAUCCUAGGAUGGGUGAUCCACUGGAAAGUUUUCGUGUGAGUUCCCAGAAACAAAACCGUGAUGGCGUGGUUGGGACCCAAAGCGGACAAUAUCGUGCUACGGCGAAGUCAAGCUGGGGAUGUGGUGAGGGAUCGGGCCGGGAUGUGACACUAAAUGAUUUGACAAAAAUUAGAGUAUUUUUAUCAUUUUAGCUUUAUUUAAUAAAGAUUUUUUUAUAAAAUGAUCAAAAUGAUUGAUAAUGUACAAACUCAAAUAUUAGUUCUAUUUGCUUCAAAGACCUUUUUGACAAAAAACAAACCUAUUAAUUAUUUGUUUUCUCGCCCAACAUUAGGUGACGAAGAUAAUGAGUAUCCACUUCUUAAAUCAGCCAGUAGGACAUAGACACGCUAAUCCCGCGUCGAACCCGCGUCCCCAAAUCUAACACCUGACCAAAGGGCGUGUCCUGAUUGGUCCUCCCCGCUACCUUCAUCCCCAAGUGUUACACGGCGAUCCACCAUAUCACUUUCAAAAUCGCACGGGGUCCAGAUGGAAUAUCAAGAGACAAAAAUAUCUCCAGCCCAGUGGGCCCCUUUCAAAAUACAACCACCAUAACUGUUUUUCAAAACAAGGGUCGCUCCCUGGAAACUCCCUCCCUCUCCCUCUCACUAGGUCGGUGCUGAAACGCUCUCAAAUUUCAGGGAGCCCCACAUGGAUCGGAGCUGGGAUGACCAAGAAGGCGACUGGUACGGUAGAAAAACCUCCACCGCCUUUGACCGAUCUUUCUGGAUUUUUAUCGAACACCUAGUCGGCGUAACUAUUCGAACCCCUUAUAUACCCACUCCCAAGCUCCCCAAACUGCCAUUUUUCCACCCACCACACCCACCUUCCCUUUCCCCUCUCUCUCUCUCUGUCUUACCCAGUUCACCGCCAUUAACAAAGAGUGAGAAUUGCGUUCUAUGAGCCCAAAAGACGAAAGCCACCCAAAGUCUCCACCCACUUCAGCUGAAUUCGACCCAGAAUCAAUUGGGUUGUCCGAAUUUCGACCCCAAGUGUCGGCACCGUUACUGGGUUCUCAGCCGAUUCCUUCGUUCACUUCUCCUGUAAUGGAAUUCGAAGCCUUCUCUUCUGUAAACCCAUUGGGUGCUUUUGACUUCGCUGAAAAAGUUUCAAUUCCAACGUCGUCUAUGGGCGGCGGUGGUGCGGAGGACGUGGUUGUUCCGCCGCAGCCACUGGAAUGUCUGCAGGACACUCCGGUGCCUCCGUUUCUGUCCAAGACUUUCGAUUUGGUCGAGGACCCCUCGCUGGAUUCGAUCAUAUCGUGGGGCUCCGGUGGCCGCAGCUUCGUGGUGUGGGACCCAUUGGAGUUUUCCAGAUUCAUCUUACCGAGGAACUUCAAGCACAACAAUUUCUCAAGUUUUGUGCGGCAGCUUAAUACUUAUGUGGGUAUUUUGCAGUAACACAGCCUGUAUUAGCUGCUGUGAUCUGUAUGUAAUUUUUUUUUCUUGUCCUUUAAUUCUUUAAUUUGUUUUUCUUUCUGUGUUUUAGAUUUGUUGUUUGUUGUCUGAAUUGAGUUUGAUGAGGUUAAUUCUGUAUAGAUGUAGCCGAGGCGAUUAGUAUUUGUAUUAAGCUCGCGAUGUAAGAUUCUGUAGGAGCUGGUGUUGUAUUCUUAACUCCCAAUUUGUUGUAUGUGUGGAGAUUCAUAUGUAAUUGACCAAAAUGAAGUAAUAAAAGGAUUCUUUGUGAGCAAAAGGUUUCUUCGAUGAAAAGCUUGGCGAUUUGUUUUCCGGUUUCCAAUAGUUUACGCAGGUGAAGUGACAGGAGAAAUGAAUUGCUGCUUUUGUUGUUCUUGAUGAUGAUGAUGAUGUUUAUGAUGUUGUUGAUGCUGAUGAUGAUUGAUGUUGUUGAUGAUAUGAUGAUGAUGUGGUUCUACUUUAAUGGGCAUGUAAUCAUCUCCUCUCUCUGGAUAAUAUAACAUGUUUUUUAGGAUUGUCUUUAAUCAUGAAGCUUAGAAUAGUGAAUCUAAAUGGAAAUGGUAGAGGUUGUUCUUUUAUUGAUUUAGUAGUUAGGAUUGGAGGCUUCUACGAGAAGAACAUCUUCCCCUCUGAGUAUGUACUGGAGAGGGGAGUCCGUCAGGUAGAAUUCGGACUCCCUUCGAAAUCUGUUAUUAUACAAGUAUAUAUUACCCCAAUAAAAUUUCUCUUAAUGUUUUUUAUGUGAUUUACAGAUUGUAAGCAAGGUUCAGUUCUUCAUAUGCAUGAAAGUUGAUGGCCUCACAUUGUCUUCUGUGAUGAUUAGAUUGCUACUUGAAUGAUUGUAUAUAUCUUUUUAUUUCUGUUAUAUCGCUUUCCCAUUCAUUUUUUUUAAUUAUUUUGGGUCUUGCAUUCAGGGUUUUCGCAAGGUUGACACAGAUAAGUGGGAGUUUGCGAAUGAAGCUUUUCAGAAGGGCAAAAGACAUUUGUUGAAGAGGAUCCAGAGGCGCAAGUCACCUCAAUCUCUGCAAGUUGGGAGCUUUACUGGGCCUUCUGCGGAAGCAGGGAAGUCUGGAGUCGAAGGUGAGAUAGAGACAUUGCGGAAAGAGAGGAGUACGUUAAUGCAGGAGGUUGUUGAAUUGCAGCAGCAGCAGCGGGGCACAGUUGACCAUAUGAAGGUAGUGAAUCAGAGGCUUCAGUCUGCGGAGCAGAGACAGAAGCAGAUGGUUUCUUUCUUGACCAAGAUGCUUCAGAACCCGGCAUUCGUGGCCCGACUUCAACAAAAGACUGGACAGAAAGACAUAGGCUCUUCAAGGGUGAGGAGGAAAUUUGUUAAGCAUCAGCAGCAUGAACUCAGUAAGUCAGAUUCAUAUAUGGAAGGCCAGAUUGUGAAGUACCAGCCUGCCUGGAGAAACCAAACCAUAUCCUCUACAGCGCCGGAUUCAUAUCCAGUUCCUUUUGAACAAUCUCCUCAUUAUCCUUCACAAGUUACGACAGGAAAACUGGGUUUGGAUGCUGAAAGCACGGCAUUCCAAUUUGUGGACGCUGCACUAGAUGAAUUAGCAAUCACACAAGGAUUUCUUGAAACACCAGAGCAAGAAGGCGAAGGGGCAUCAAGCAUGGUAACUGAAGAUCCUUUUUUCAAAGGGAAGAGUGUUCUAAGCCCACAACAAGAGGCUAAUCCCGAGCAUUAUGUCUCUUUCGAGGAGGAUUUGGUGAAGGACAGGACUUUUCCAGAACUGUUUUCUCCAGGGAUGGAGAGCAUGAUUAAACAAGAAGACAUAUGGAGCAUGAAUUUUGAUGUCAGUGCCGGUAUGUCAACUUCUAUGAAUGAGUUAUGGGGUAAUCCAGUCAACUAUGAUGUGCCAGAGGUGGGAUUGACGGGUGGAUUGUUAGAUGUCUGGGAUAUCGAUCCUCUGCAAGAGGCAGGAGGGUUGGGAAUCAAUAAGUGGCCAGCCCAUGAAUCUGCAUUUGAUGAGCCUCAGAGUCAAGGUGUCCAGUGUGCAUCUAAAACUACUGAUCCGUAGGGCUGCAUUUGCUGCCCUUUCGGAUCCUAGUCAUUUUAAGUUGCAGGGGUCUAUUAUAUGGACGAUUUAUUAAUGAAUAUAUUAAUUUGAUAGCAAAGUCUUACUCUUUCUUAAUCAUCCGCUUUUAUUCCUUAGAUCUUCGAUUUCCGCCCUGGUAUUUGUUCUUUUCCCAACUCUCUUCUCACCUAUUUUGUAGGUUGCAUUCCAAUUUCCUUCUAGUUGUAGGCUGCAUUAAUCUCAAAGUUCUGUUGCUAACAAAUAAUAGAGCUAUGAAACUGCAGGUCUUUAUCCUCUGGAAAGGUAGCUCGCUUCCACCGGGAAACGGGGUCUUGGAUUUUGCCCUUCUGAGCUCGUGAAAUUCCAGAAAGGUGAACUGUUUGAGUUUAACAGGUACAGAAAUUAGUAGGCCAAUCUGUUGAGAUCAUUCUUCUUCUCGUUGGUCUCCCAACCUUUAACGUUUACAAUUUUUUAGACUUGAUUUCUCCAGUUGGUGUACGAAUACAAACACCGAAGAAGCAUUGAGGUGCAUUACAUUAGUGAAGAGUUGCUUUGAAGAACUGCCAGCCUUCUCAAAAACAGGGAGAAGAAGAUUACCGAACGUUCAAAUUUGAAGCCGGCGAAAUGCGUUAAGAUUAGGCUAAAUCAAAGAUUCAGAUGUCCACUGUCACCAUAAGGUACUUUAUAUUUUUGGGUUCAUCUUUGAUAGUCCGGACAACCGCGUAGUUCAAUCUUGACCAUCAAUUUUUCAUACAAUUUGAUAGCGCCCGAAUCAGCCCAUGCCCAGCCCGAUUUUAAACUUGAUCGGGCUGGUUAGAAUGAAGUAAUAACCUGCUAAAAUCCAACCCGACCUUUACCCGAUCAUUUAUUGUGUUGGGUCGGGUUGGUGCUUCGCCCGACCGUGUCAAAUUCAACUCGAUUUUUAUCUUAAAUUGCUGGGGCAAAUAUUACCUUAUCACACUUCAUAUUAUAUUGGGAGGGCUAUACUUGAAAUUUGAUUUUUGUUUGAACAUUGAAUGAUAGUGUUGCUUUUACGUUUCUUUUGGUUAAAACUUUGGUAUUGUCUUAUAAUUAAUUUCAACUUUGGAUAUUUUAAUAAUGUAGUACAAUAUUAGAAUUGAUAAAGUUAGGCAAACUUGAACCAAACUCUUGUAAGCCCGAACCUGGAUAAACCAACAUGAACUCGAAGACAACCCAAACUUGAAAUACGAAUUUGGUGGGUUGACCAUCUAAACCACCCAACCCAUCCGAAUUGCACCCCUACUAGACUAUUUUAGAAAAGUUGUAUAUUUUGUGCUCUUAUUUAGUUUUCAUUAGCAUCAGAGAGGGUAAAAGUUGAUCUAAAUUGUAUCUACUAUUACUUGAACAAUUGAAUUAAGUCGUAUUUAGUUAAAUGUGGCAAGCAAACUUUCAGAAAUAUAACUAAAGAAAGAGAAAACAGUACAUAACAUAGAGCCAAUCUUGACAUUGGAAGGUCGAAUAACAGAGCCUUUCAGGCAACAAAUUGGUGACGCAGUAACUAAUUUUAACUCGCGGAGACGGAAGAGGCUAUGGAAGCAGAAGGAAUACAACAGAUAUAACUCAUGCUGGGAAUGCAACUAAUUAUAUAAGCUAGAUCUGUGAAAUAUGGAAAGAACAAAAAUCCCAAGCUCAGCGGAGAUCCACUACACCCGCUGACUCUAAUCCUUGCAAGCUGGCCGAAAAGCCAAAGUCUGGUAGUAGCAGAGAGUAACUCAACUUAACCCGCUGCAAAGUCCGUUUGUCUGAAGAGACUCACUCGGCAUCCCUGGUUGUUGUAGGAUCAUGGCGCUCCCUUUUAAGUUUUUUUGCUUUCUUGGGCUCUAGCAUGUCUUGAACCUUUGGUGUACGCUCAUUACCCUCGUGUUUCAUUCUAGCUUCGCGUCGCUCCCUUUUAACUCCCUUCGUUUUGCUAGGCACAAAUGUAUCACCAACCUUUGUGUGAUAAUACACCGUAUCUCCAAUCUAAACAGAGUUUGUCAACAAAAACGAUAAAGAAAUAUUAGUUAGACAUGCUUAACAUCAGCGUACUGGACAAAAUGUACAGUAGAAAAAGACGCAAGUAGAGAAGAAAUGGUUCAGGUCAUGUAAACAAAUGCCCGCCCUCUAGACCACAGAACAACCGCUAUAUGAAAUAAUCUAUGUUUGCCGUUUACCUUUUGAUCUGGGAUGUUGAUUUUCCCAACCUUGCCCCGCAGUAGGUCCUGUUUAAUAUUCUUGUCCUGGAAGUAAUAAGAGGAAUUGCGUUACAGACAUGUUACAUGCAAAAGAAACCAGAGAAAUCAGAAGGAGAUUUAGUAUUUCAACCUUCUUAGGCUGAUUUUUGCCUUCUCUCAUUGCUUCUUUCCUUAGGCUUUCGUUAGGAAGGCGAUGCCGACGAACUACUAAAUCCAUGGAGGGGCCAACUUCAACUAGCUCCAUCCGUGGAACUACUGUGCCAGAUUUUUUAAGUCGCAGUGCACAUUGAGUAAGAACCACUUUCUUAGAAGAUAUAGCUGUACAUACAUAUACACGAUCUAAACCAGCAAGAUUUAAUUUCUCUACAACCUGCACAUAUCAUUUUUAUGUAUAUAUUAAUAUCCCUCACUAAAUUAAAAAACGAGUAACGUGCAACAAAAUGGCAGCAGAGAUAAACCUCUCCUCGCAACAGAUCAAGCAAAACUUCCUUCAAAUGUUGCAGCUCUCCUGCGCUUUCAAAUCCUUCUCCAAUAAAGCAAACAAAUGGUUUCGUCCCCACCCGCGGUGCUAGUUUCUUGUCAUAUGUAAACGAUUCCAAUGGUUUAUAGUUUUCAACCCCAACCUCUACAAGAUCAUAUAUAUGGUGAUCAUAAGUUCUCCCUAUGACAAGAUUGUCAGGCCGCUUCUUUGAGUGAGAGCCAAACUGCAAUAUAAGAGCAAUUAACAAUUUCAAAAUUACAUUUGAGAAAUCGGGAAAUAAACACAAGCAUAAGAUACAGUGCCUGAUCUUAUUUAGGCAACACAAGGGCUCAGCAUUCUAAAUAGGGUGAGUCAAGAACUCAGUUCAGAAAAUGGGAUAAACAUCGAUCAUCAUGCAUACAUUUUGAAAAAUGAGUAGAUGUAGUUGGAAUAUAUAAAAUUCAAGAUUUAGGCUGAAGCGUUCAAGAUAAAGUCCACAUCAAAACUCAAAAGGUAAAAUGGGACUAACAAGCGGGAAACGAGCAUCCUUGGCAUUCCAAAAUGAAGGAUGAUAGGUAGAAAUAAAUACAAAUACUUUCAUUGGUUGUGAGCUGCUUUUAGUUAUUCUGUGUUAUGAAUUCUGCGUCUGCAAUGUCCAAACAUAUAACUAAAAUAGUUUGUCACCUACCAAAUCCAUUGCAAAUGCCACAACAAGAUCAAAGAGGCAGGUUCAUCAUAGAAACAUAAAUUGAAAAAAUCAAAGAUUUCCAGAACAUUGAAAGAAUAUAAACAAAUUGAAACCAAAGAUUUCUACUAGAAACACAUUCGUUCUAAUGAGCAGCUCAAAGAAAUAACAGAAAACAACCAAACAUCUUCCAAAAUGUUCAUCAAUGCUAGCAAUAAGUCCUGUAAAACUAAGCAAAUGCUGCAACACUAUCAAAAUCCAAAUAACCUUUCAAAUCCCAAACAGAAAACAGUUGCAUAAUGCGCGCGCGCGCAUAUAUAUAUAUAUAUUUAUUUAUGGGGUCUUUUGAUAUGGGUCCAAUUGGACCUAUUUCAAAAAUCAAAAGUCACUAAAAGUUGGACCUAUUUCAAAAGAUGAGCUAUAAAAUUGGACCUCUUUCAAAUUUUCCCAUUUAUUUAUUUAUACCAAGCUCACAUGAAAUCAAAUUAUUGAAGGAGCAAAAUGCUGAGGUAGUUUUAUACUUACGACGAAAAUACUGCAAUCGGUUUUGUGAGAGAAGAACUCAAGGGAAGUAUCACCCCCACUUUCAAAAGGGCUAAUAUCUUCAUUCCUGCGGCUGAAUUUCACAGCACUGUCCUUCUUCAAAUGGUAAAGGUCCGAUAACACAGAAUUAAUCACACUGCUCGUCUUCCUACCGUGAAGAAUCAACGUCUUCUUCCCCGUCUCAACCUUUAAAAUCAUACAAAACCCGAUUGAAAAAUCAAUACAAAAUUCGAAGAAACCAAUACCCAAGUUGAAAAAUCUGAACUUUUGCUUUUGGACACAGGAAAAGUACAAAUUUUCCCGAGAAACAAACAGAUGUGAGGAACUUACGAUCUUGGGGGCACGUUUCUCUAGCUCUCUUCUGGCCUUUCCACUCUUGGGAGUUCUCACUUGCAACAAGGUUGGCUGCGAACCCUCUGGCUCUCUUGUGGCCUUUCCUUUCUGGGCAGUUUUCACAGGCAACAUGGUUGACUGCAAAAUGUAAAACCCUCUGAGAAAUACAGUUGCAGGACUUUGGAAGGGAAGCUAGGGUUUUAUUCCAAAACGAUGGUGACGACUGUGGACUCUGAUAUGAUGUCAUUAGGGUUUUGUGGGCUCGUAUGGACUCGGAAAAUAAGCUGCUUUACUCUGCCUUCUUGGGCCCAUCAUUUGUAACCCAGCUUAAGCCCAAUCUCUUUUUUUCUCUUUCUCUUUCUGUCGAGUCUCAACCGUUCACUCAUGAAAAAAUAAAAUGUGAGGGCGAGAAUUUCCUUUGUAGCCUCGUAGGUGUUACAUAAAGAAAUUGUCGUUAUGUUGAUUAAAAGUAUUUAUUUUUUGCAUAUGAGCCUGAGGUUCUAAAUUCAAUUUUUCUGUUAUCCAACAUAUAGGUAGUAAGUGUUGUCUUUUCUAUUUCAAUAUAACUCAAGCAUUUAAAAUAUUGAAAUUAUACUAAAGAUAUUAUGUACAAUUUGACGUAUGUCAUCUUAGUGGCAAAUAUUAAGUGUAACCAGGUAUAUAAAAAAAAAACCCAUUACACAAUAUAAUUUCUUCACUUAUACAAGUGACACAUACUUACACAUGAGAGUGACCCUUGAUUACCAAAUAAUAUGGUUAUAAGCUGCCUAAAUGUUUACCCCAAAUUUUUUACAUCUGUUAAUACCCCACCGCCAUUGCCACCAUGCCUUCACGGCCAUUGAAACCACCGUUGUCUCCACCACUGUUGCCCCUUAUCAUGACCAUCACCACCACCACUAACGUCACACAUAAUGACCCAUCAUUAUUUGGAUUAUUGAAUAUUUAAAACUAGUGGAAAUGCCUAUUAAAUAAGCCAUUAAAAAGUUCAUUAUUUGAAUAUUAGAAAUUUAAAACUAGUUGAAAUGGCCAUUAAAUAAGCCAUUAAAAAGUUCAUUAUUCAUUAUUUUGAAUGUUGAAAACCUAAAACUAGUGGAAAUGCCUAUUAAAUAAGCCAUUAAAAAGUUCAUGAGAAUUCAUGAGAAUACACUAAGGGGUGUAUUCAAUUGGGAUUUUGAGGGAUUUUAAUUCUUUUAAUAAAUCUAGGAGUAUUCAAUCAAGAUUUUAAGUGAUUAUCUAAAAUUCAAGGUGUAUUCAAUUAUAAUUUUAAGAUGGUUUAUUAAAAUACUUAGGGGGUGUAUUCAAUUGGGAUUUUGAGGGAUUUAAUGUUUUUAAUGAAUUUAUGGGUAUUCAAUAAAAAAUUUAAGUGAUUUUCUGAAAUUCAAGGUGUAUUUAAUUAGAAUUUUAAGAUAGUUUAUUAAAAUCCUUAGAAAUCCGGGUGUUUUCAAUUAGGAUUUUAAAUAAGUUUAUAACAUUCCAUGUGUUUUCAAUUAGAAAUUGAUUUUAAAUAAUUGGAGAAAGUUGAGGAAUUAGAGGGAAAUGAAGAUAUUUUGUAGUGUAUUUUAAUCAUCCAAAAAUCUCACAUCUUCCCAUAAAAUUUCGAGUGAAUUGAAUCAAAAUUUUAUAUGAAGGGGGAGUGUAUUCAAUUGGGAAUUUGAGAGAUUUUAUUGGAUUUAUAAAUCCAUGAAUUUUUAUGGAGUUUAACUGAUUUGUAGAUAUUUCAUACAAUUUUGAUUCAAUUCCCUCAAAAUCUCAUGGGAAGAUGUGAGAUUUGUGGAUACUUAAAAUAUACUACAAAAUCUCUCAAAUUCCCUCUAAUCCCUCAACUUUUCUAAAUUCUUUAAAUUCUAAUUCUAAUUGAAUCACCUGAAAUGUUAUAAACUUCUUUAAAAUUCUAAUUGAAUACAUCCAGAUUUAUAAGAAUUUUAAUAAACUAUCUUAAAAUCUUGAUUGAAUACAUAUUGAAUUUCAGAGAAUCACUUAAAAUCCUGAUUGAAUACACCUGGAUUCAUUAAAAGAAUUAAAAUCCCUCAAAAUCUCAAUUGAAUACACCCCCGAAAUCUCUACAAAUCAAUUAAACUUCAUAAAAAUUCAUGGAUUUAUAAAUCCACUAAAGUCUCUCAAAUUCUCAAUUGAACACACCCCCCCUUAGAAAUCCGGAUUUUAAAGAAGUUUAUAAUAUUUCAGGUAUAUUCAACUAGAAAUUGAUUUUAAAGAAUUUGAGAAAGUUGAGGAAUUAGAUGGAUUUGGAGAGAUUUUGUAGUGUAUUUUAAGCAUCAACAAAUCUCACAUCUCCCCAUGAGAUUUCGAGGGAAUUGAAUCAAAAUUUUAUAUGGAAUCUCUACAAAUCAAUUAAAUUCCAUAAAAAUCUAUCGAUUUAUAAAUCCAUUAAUAUCUCUCAAAUUCUCAAUUGAAUACACCCCGUAAAAUUCAAAAUAAAGUCCUCACAAAAUCCAUGAAUUUCAAUAAGUUUAUAACUUGCUCACAAUCCUUUAAACUUUCAUUUGAAUAUCAUAGUUGGUAAAAUACAAAAAAUACGUGAAAAAUACGUGUGCAUAUUAUUCGACAUUAGAAAGAAGAGUAAAUUAUAGCAAUGGUUCCUGAACUGUAAUCAAAUUGGAGCAAUGGUCCAUCAACUAAAAAUCCAUUACCAUUGGUCCCUCAACUUAUCAAAAUGUGUAGCUAUAGUCAUUUUCAUCAGUUUCUUCAAAAUUUUGUCAAAAUAAGUUAUUUUGGAAUAACCAUUUAUAAUUAGGGUCCCUCAAUUCAUCAAAGUGUGUAAUUAUGGUCUUUUUCGUCAACUAUGUCAAAAAUUUUGUCAAAAUGAGUUAUGUUUGAAGGACUUUUGCUACAAUUAGGUUAAGUUAAGAGAUAAUUUAUCCAGUUGAAUUAAAGUUGAGGGACCAAAUGUAAUGAAUUUUUAGUUGAGGGACCAUAGCUGCACGUUUUGAUGAGUUGAAGGAUCAAUGAUAAUGAAUUUUUAAUUGAAGGACCAUUGCUUCAAUUGAGUUAAAGUUAAUGGACCAUAACUACAAUUUACCCUAGAAAGAAAGUUUGAAAAAUUCGUCAUUUAAAAAAUUUUAAUAUUUAUUUUAAUAUUAUAAUAUUUAUUUUUCAAUAGUAUUCUAAAAAUAUGUAUAUAAUAUACAAAUUUUAUGUGCAUUAUUGAAAAUAUGUAUAAAUAACAUGUAUUAGACGUGAAAAAUAUGUAAGUACUUGGAGUAUUAAAAACCGUGCAAUUUAACGGACUUGGAUCCUCUCAUGAGCUAAUGGAGAGGAUCAUCCUGACCCAUCAUCUUGGGCCGUUGGAUUUUUAUCCAACGGCUACAAGCAGGAGGUCUCUUUAAUGUUAUAAUAAUUAUAACCGUUGGAUAAAAAUUCAACAGCCCACGAUUAUGGGUCAGGAGGAUCCUCUCCAUUAGCUCAGGAGAGGAUCCAAAUCCCAAUUUAACAAAUCAUUGAGAUAUGUACAAAAAAAUAUAAGUAUUUUUUAAAAAUAUGUUUGUACUUACAUGUAUGAUAGUUAACUUUAUCUUAUCAUGAGGGCCAACUUUUGGGGAAGAGGUCCCUCCAGAUCUCUUCAACCAAAACCCAUCAAUUAAAUAAUUCGGAUAUUUAAAAUUUGAUCCAACAGUUAUGAAUAAGGAAUCAUUUUAAAAAUUAUAAUAAUUUUAACCGUUAAAUCAAAUUUUAAUAUUUCAAAUUAAUUAAUUGGUGGGUUUUGGUGUGAGAGAUCCGGAGCUUUUGUUUGAAAAGAAGAUUCAAAAUAACCUUUCAUAUUUUAACUAUAAAAAAAAAGGAAAAAGAAAAUAACCCUUCUUUCAUUUCUGGAUUCAUGAAAGCUCAUUUUCCUUUUUUUUUUAUUUUUAAUUUUUUAAUUGUCUUUAAAUGACCUUCCCCGCUAUAUAAUAUAUCUUCCUCACACACAGAUGCGUACACUUUUCCUCCCCAUCACCUUGUUCUUGAUCUAAUCCUAAUUCCCAAUUCCCCAAUCUUCUUAUUCCACCAAUAACCCUCCAAUUUCCGCUCCAAUUUUUCGAUUUUGUUUUUGCUUUUAUUUUAUUUCAAUUUAAUUUGUAUACCUGUAAUAAGAAUCAGGGUUUAUGUUGAUAAUUAUCCAUGUACUUAGGGAUUUUUUAUUUUCGUGAUUAUCGUGUCGAUAACUAGGCCUUUCGCUGUUGGUAGUAUACAAUUUUGGAUUGAAUUUUUUAUAGAUGGCUGACUUGUAAUCGAAGAUUAGGGAUUUAGGUUUAGGGUUUUGAUUUCUGAGAAUCUGAUGGAAAUGGAGAGCUCGCGUAGGCCGUUUAGCGGAUCGAAUGAACCAGGCUUGAAGAAACCCCGAUUGGCCGAAAACCCGAAUGGACGAGCUUUUGGGCAGAGACCUGGUGGGGGAGCUAAUCCAGUGCUGUCAAGAUUCAGAGUGAGUGAUAGAGACACCGGGAGCGACGACCCGAAUCGCGGGGGUGGGGGCUAUGUGCCGCAGCCACUGCAGCAUCAGGAGCUUGUGAGCCAGUACAAGACGGCGUUGGCGGAGCUCACCUUCAAUUCAAAGCCAAUUAUUACCAAUCUGACGAUAAUUGCCGGCGAGAACGUCCACGCAGCAAAGGCGGUGGCGGCAACUGUAUGCAGCCACAUUAUUGAGGUGAAACUCAGCUUUACACUGUGUAUAUAGCUGUAUUUGUGUUUUAUAUUUUUGGUUAUGGCACCGGUUGUUUGAAUUCGACUUGUAAAAUGAAAAAGAAAGGGAUGGAGGUGCAAAAGGAGAACUAAAAUGUGUUAGUGCUCGCUCGCAUGUUUUAUGUUAUGCUGAUACUUUAGUGAAAAAGUUUUGUUCCGAAAGCUUGCCCCCAGUUAAAUAUUUGUUUACUUUCUUGAUGCAAAUAAUAAAGGUUUGUGAUAUGUGUGGUGGUCUAGUUUUGACUGAAUGGGAAUGUUUGUAUUCGCCAGUGAGCCUAUCGAAGUAAUGAACAUCCAAUUUCAUUCUUAUUUUUCCCGUAUGAUAUUGAGUUGAGGGUUUGGCUGCAGUUAACAUUGGUCAGGCUUUGUACGUGUAAUCAGUAUGUUUUCCUGAUAUUCCCCAGGUUUGACAAGUUCCACUUCAUCAUUUUCUGGUUGUCUGUGCGAAUUUGUUUAAUCCAUUGCACGCAAACGAGGCUGUAUGUAGCUACAUGAGAAUAGUUUUGACAUUCUGUGAUUAAAUGGGUUUUGUGGAAUGAGCUGUAGCAGGUUUCAAAACCAAAUGAAUAAAUCACAUCCUUAUGGCUAUGGCCUAUUGGUUUCACAGAAAAUCUCUGCAUAUAGCUGUUUUAUUCUUGUUACAACAACGCUGCAGCAUUUGAAAGGGGAGGAAAACCACUUUCAUAGCCUAACAGAUCCCGCUAUGUUUAGAAAAUCAGCAUUACAUGUUGUGGUUGUAUGUAAGAACCUUAUUCAGAUAGAGUUUUGGGGAGUUUUUAGACCUGAUGGUAAUGCCCUGCAAGACUUCGAUAGCUGACUCUGCAGGUGCAUGAUCUCAUAUGGUUUUACUCAGUGGUAAUUAUCUUGCUAUACUGAUCUUCUGGUGGUAAUUAAAGACUGUCAGAUUGACAAAACAGAGAAUACAUACAAACCUCAGGUUUUGUUAGAGCACUAAAGUGGUGGUGCCAAUUUCAUUGACAUCCUUACAUUUGAAAGAUGGAGGGCAUAUUUGAUUUAUCAGUGUGAUAACCUCCAAAAUAUACGAUGUACGGUACAUUUAUAUACACUUAUAUACGUCAAAUAGAUUUAGAUGUUCAGUCUGUUAUUGCACUUAGUCUGGAAUUGCUCUCCUUUAGGCUUCUGAUAGCACACAUUCCAUUUCUAGCUGAGCGUAUCUUCUGAUUAUUAGGUGCCUGGAGAUGUUUCUAUAGAUGUUAUAUUAUCUAGGAGUGGCAGAGUGAAAGAUGUCUUGUUAGUUUUCACUGUUCCCAUAAGGAAAUGACUCAAAUCCUUGUGAGACAGAAACUAGAGUGAGAGAGCCUAGUUUUUAGAGGACACACGAGAAAACAAGUUAUAAAAUACGACCGUAAAAAUAAAUGAAUAAAUAUCACUCGCAUUAUUCUAGUUACUGUAUUUUCUCCUAUGAGCCUAAGUUUUGCCCCCCAAUGGGAUAGUUUAGAAGUGAUUAUACGUGCAGUUUAUGUUGCUUUUGAUAUCUUAUAAAUGUGUUUGAAGAGUCUAAACUGACACAAAUUCUCCUUCCCCUUCCACACUCUCUUGGGAAACAUCGGUUCUAGGCCAUUGGUUUAUUAAUUGCUUAUUUGUUUAAACAAUACUGGCUGCAUCUAGUGUAUAAUAUCUAAUUCUAGAAAGUAAUUUGCAGGUUCCUAGCGAGCAGAAGUUACCAUCACUUUAUCUUUUGGACAGUAUUGUAAAGAAUAUCGGAAGGGAUUAUAUCAAAUAUUUUGCUGUCAGACUCCCUGAGGUUAGAUUUCUUUCUUGAUUCUCAGCAUGCUUUGUCUAGUUGAUGGAAAGCAUGUUUUUUUUCUUUUUUUCUUUUAACAUGUAUUGUUCCUGAUCUUCACCGCUAACCCAUUACCUGGUAUCUUUCAAAUAGAAAAGAUGUUUGUUUGCACACUACAUCCUUGCUACCCGUAUUUGUCACAACUCACUGUAGACUUGAUUCUUUGUUAGUUACUUUGCCAAUUCUUUGCCUUUCUCUUGAACUUAUAGGUGUUCUGCAAGGCAUAUAGGCAGGUUGAACCUCCUAUACAUCAAAGUAUGCGGCAUCUUUUUGGAACAUGGAAAGGAGUGUUUCCUGCUCAGACACUUCAGAUGAUUGAGAAAGAACUUGGAUUUUCUUCUACGGCAAAUGGUUCAUCCUCUGGAGCAGCAACAUCAAGACCAGAUUCGCAGUCACAGCGACAAGCACAUAGCAUUCAUGUGAAUCCCAAAUAUUUGGAAAGGCAACGUCUUCAGCAGCCAACUAGGGUAAGUGGAGUUCUGAAGUCAAUUACGGAUGUGGAUUCACAUCUCUUGAGUUUUGACUUUUGACCACCAACUAUUGAUGUUCCACGAUUUAGUGGUGGAUUGUUAAAAGUUAAUCACAAAUAAAUAAUAUCAUCAGAAAACUAUACUCUGAUGAGCUUUUUUAACACUGGAAACUAGAACUCUUAUAGUAGGUUGUAAAACUUCUAUGUUGCUCUUUUUAUUUAUUCAGGGAGUUUAUUCAUAAAAUAUUGCUCUUAUAGUUUGGAGUUAUGUUAUAUUUUCCAGAAGUAUCUUGAUCCUUUACCAGAUGACUUGAUUCAUUUUCAUAAGGAUUCGACGUAACUGAGAUUUGCCGGCUGUUGACUACCUGAGAAUAUAUAUUUUCUUUCCUUGAGUCGUUUUCUUCGUACAACCUUGAUUUACCCACAUGCUCCUUAUGAAAAGAUUAGUGCUUUUACAUAUUUCGUUUAUGCUGGUUUUUGGUAUGAAGGCAAAAGGAAUGGCUAGUGACUUUUCUAGGGCUAUGGCAAACUCAAUUGAUGAUGAUCC